GCUUAUGGCAAAAAAAAAAAAAAAAAAAAAAAAAAAAAAAAAAACAACCUCAAGAAAGGAAGAAAAGAAGAGAGAAAGAAAAGAAGGUAAGAGAAAGGGAGAGAGAAAAAGGAUGCAACAACAGGAGCAGGGAGAGGAGAAAGGCAUUUUUAACAGCCUUUCAAAUCCUUAAAAUAGUGAUAUUUGCUCUUGUGAUGAACCUAAUGGUGUUAAAAAGAAGAAUAAAAGUGACUGAAGGGUCUUGUGGUCCCUAAGUAAAAAGUGCAGUGUUUUGAAUACUGCCUCCUAGGACAUCAAAUAACAAAGACAAAAAUGAUAAUUUAAUGAAAAUCAAUGAAACAAUUUAGGAAAAAGUUCUUUCAGACUUCAAUUUGGUAAUUUAUUUUGCAAAGGAAACCAGCAGUCAGACAAAUAAAGUAAUACUGUGAUGAGAGAACAUGGAGAAAAUGAUAAGAAAGCCUUGCACACUGACUUCAUGGGUGUCUGUACCAGUGUUUUCUAAGAUACACCUUGAUGACAAAUGACAGGAAGGGAGGGAGGGAGGAAACAUUUUCAGUUCAAUGUCUUGAAUGAAUUAAAAUUUCAUCAUAGAGAAGUGAUCAAUACUGGCUGAUGUAGCCUUGAGUCAUCAAAAGAAAGUCACUGCCUCCACCACAAUAAUUCAUAGAUUCAUAACUAACCAAAUAAGACAUCAAUAAAUCUCCAGUUGUAGAAGCAUCCAAUCCCAUUUUACACAAGCCCUAUCUUCCCAAAGAUGAGUCCCAAAACCACAGAAAGUAGAAAAAGUUUCAGGUGAUAGAACGACACAGAAAGAUAAAGAGGAGUCCCUGCUGUUUAUACAGCAUUUCUGUCUGCUCAUUUCAUUUUCCAGAAUUGUGGUGCCAAUUCAACAAAGUGAUGGACAGAAAAGACAGCCUGCUGCAAGUAUGCCCCGAGACAGGUGGCCAGCAUACUGAGACAGGUGGCCAGCAUACUGUCUGUGAGCUCCCAGAAUCCCUGUGGAGUCUGGAAGGAUUGUGGCAUAGUUCAGUGGGAUUGGAGUCUCUUCUGUAUUUCUUGGAAAUAUCAUGUUGAAUUCAUGAAUGAUAAGAACAGUUCAUUUUUUUAAAAAAAUUAUUUCUGCAAACUUACCAUUUCCGAUUUUCAAAUGCCACAUGUAAAAAAUAUAUUCUAAUUGAGUAUACUCUUCAAAUUUAAAAUGAAUCUCAGGAUAAUGGAACUAUAAUGAAAUCUGUUCUCAUCACUUUGGAGACAACUCAAGAUGUAUAGGGGGGUCUCACAAUAACAGAGAAAUUGCCUUUGUUGUCCUCCUAGCCAUGGUAACAGAAUGUUAAACCCAGUGUGGGUUCCUUUACAUCAGUCACCUAUCCACAAAGCCUGCCCUUAUUAGAGGUAAACAUACCAAAUAUGGCACAGCUCUCUUCUCAUGAUUAGAAAAAAUCCAUACCUGUGUCAACAACAAAGUGAAAUAAAUGAAUCCUACAAUUCAUUCAUUCCAUAUGUAUUGUCAAUAAUUUUAGUAAUGUCUUGCAUUAAGAGUCUUUUAUGUCCUCUGUAUCCUAAAUGUAAAUUUACACAUGAAUUAUUUAAACCCCAUGACCCAAGAGUUUUAUAAAUUCUUACUAUAAGGGAGGAAUAUAAGAACAGCUAUGUUAGCCAAGUACAGUUGGAAUGCCUAUAAUCCCAGUGAUGUGAGAGGCAAAAGGAUCAAAAGUGUGAGUACCAUUUGGGCAACUUUGAUACCCUGUCUCAAAAUUAAAAAAUAGAAAAGGGUUGCGUGUGUAACUCGGUGCAAAGGCCCUGGGUUCAAUCCGUAUGUCAUGGUUUAUGUGGGUGGCACCUAGACCUCAUGCGUUUGCAUUAUGCAUUUGUGGUUGGUUCAUUGUCUAGUACUUGGAUUGAUGGUGUCAGUGCUACACCCACAUAGGGGUGGAGCCAGAAUACAAUGUAAUGGCAGGAAGAAGGUGUAUCUGACUCUCUUGCCAUUUCCCACCUUGCUGUUUGCAGCCACCAUAAACUGCAGCCCCGCCAUGCCACCUGCCUUGGAGCCAACUGAGUACGGACUAAAACCUCCCAAAACUGUAAGAAAUAAAUCCUUCCUUUCCCAGCUUUGGGCAUCAGGUAUUUUGUCUCAGCAACCAGUAAAAAAUGACUAAGACACCGUAGUACCAAGAGGAAAAAACAAAAGCCAAAACAACCAUCAGCCACAAAACAGGAAGGCCAUCAGCCACAUAAAGCAAUGUAUUCAAGAAUCUCCAAAGACUGCUGGACUUGGCCACCCGAAAGCAACAGAGUUUGGACUGGUUUGUGGAAGAAAACACAUUUAAGGAGACUAAAAUUCCAAGUUUCUUUCAAAGUCAAUCAUGAGGGCCGUCUCUCUGGCUUUUGUCUUUCUUUUCCUCCCAUCUCUUCUCUGUUGAUAGGGACUUUCCUGGCUGUACUACGCAUGGGACAGCUGUUCUAAGAACCUGCUUUUCUGUACAUCAAAAUACAGAGCUUGAGGACUUGCAAGGAGAAAAAAUAUCAAGUAAGGAAAUAGUGUUAAAACUAUCAAAGAGGAUGACAAAAGGAGAAAGAUGCAGGCAGAAAAGUGAGAGAAGCUCAUGGAAAGUGGGCAUUGGGAUGAGCAGAUACAGGUCGAAGGGGAUAAAACAGAGAAGACUGAAACAAAUAAAGUGAGUAAGGAACACUGCCAGGAACAGGGACUGUGGUUAGCAGGGAAACAGAAGGAAGAAACCAAGCUAUGGGUGCAGAGCACGGUGUCCACACAGUGAGGCCGUUUAUAUGAAACGCAUGUAUUUUUAGAAAAUAUAUAAAAUCAUUUCUACUUUCUGGAUUUUAGUGAGACAUGUCAUCGAUUUACUUUUAUUCAAGUAAUGCUUUCCAAAGAUCAUAAAAUGUUAGAGUCCAUCAGGAUUUAUUAGACUUCAGGAGAAGUUAGGUUACUUUAGGAAUGCAUUAAUUUUCUUGUGACAUUUGACUUUUGCUACAAAUCAAUUGUUUGCUAAAUGACUCCAUGACCUAAAAGAGCUCAUUUAUUUCCCAAAGUGCACAGCCACCCUUAGGAUGAAUCUCUAAUAUCAAAAGGCUCUUGUGCAAGUUUUGUGGGAAAAGCCAAUGAGGAAGCAGCAAUUUAAUGCUUCUAUUUUGCAUAAAUUAUUAGACUUUUCCAGUUCCAACAUUAAUUUUGUUAUUUAUGUGAAUUAAUAUAAACUCUGAAGAAAAGCUAAGAAAGUUGUGUUAUGAAAUUUGAAAAAUGUGAUUUUGGAAAACUGAUAGCCAUAUAUUUUAGUUUUAUAGCAAAGAAGUACUCUUCAAAAAGAUGAAAUGUGAAGGGGAUGCAUAUGUAAUAAUGUUUUCAUACACUUGCCAAUUUAAUGUGUUUGCAUAAGUAUUUAAUGCAUCAAUCUUUUCAAGAACAACGUGUUAUGAAUUUCAAUGUGAUGCUUCUUUUUCAUUAGAUUAGCCUGUUUCUAAAAUCUCCAGAGAAAAUUCUAUUAUUUGAUAGUUAUUUCCAAGACAGUGGUCAAACUUUACUAUUUUGUGGCCACAAAAGAAAUUUGUUUAGCUUUUAAGCAAUAUGAUCCUUUGUACAAAUAUGUGUGUGAUUCAUAAAAGUAAAAUCAGUUUCUAGUUGAUUUGGUAACCCAAGAAAUUAUGAAAAGCAUUACUGGAAUGAAUAUUAAGAAUGGGCCAAAUGUGUUGAUGUUAUCUUAAUCCAGGAAUGUUUUUGUUAAUCUUGAUGAAACUCUGCCCAGUUAUUUCAGUAAAGCCUAUUUACUUUCUUUGUGAAA